rnacentral:lncRNA from 1 species
CUUUCUGUGCCAUAUUGUUUCACUUCAAGUUGAAGCCUGUGUAUGAACUUUGUGUGCCAUAUACUUACCUACUACCCACCUGAUGGCUACAUGGGUGUAAACAAAUAAAAUAAAUAAAUAAAUAAACUCAAAUUGUCAACUUGUUGACCACAUCUGGUUGAAGCCACCAGAGUAAACAAUCAUCACCAUAUACGGCCACCCAAGGGUGAUGAAAAAACUCAAACUGAGGUAAGGGCAAAG